rnacentral:rRNA from 1 species
AUUGAACGCUGGCGGCAGGCCUAAUACAUGCAAGUCGAGCGGACGAACGGAGCUUGCUCCUGUAUUCAGCGGCGGACGGGCGAGUAAUGCAUAGGAAUCUGCCCGGCCGAGGGGGAUAACGUCCGGAAACGGGCGCUAAUCCAGUAUACGUCCAGAGGGAGAAAGUGGGGGAUCUUCGGACCUCAACCUAUCUGAUGUCCCUUGGUCGGAUUCGCUAGUUGGUGGGGUAAAGGCCUACCAAGGCGACGAUCCGUAACUGGUCUGAGAGGGUGAUCAGUCACACUGGAACUGAGACACGGUCCAGACUCCUACGGGAGGCAGCAGUGGGGAAUAUUAGACAAUGGGCGAAAGCCUGAUCCAGCCAUGCCGCGUGUGUGAAGAAGGUCUUCGGAUUGUAAAGCACUUUAAGUUGGGAGGAACGGCAGUAAGUGAAAACCUUGCUAUUUUGACGUUACCAACAGAAUAAGCACCGGCUAACUUCGUG